rnacentral:rRNA from 1 species
ACAAUGAAGAGUUUGAUCCUGGCUCAGGAUGAACGCUAGCUACAGGCUUAACACAUGCAAGUCGAGGGGCAGCAUUUUAGUUUGCUUGCAAACUGAAGAUGGCGACCGGCGCACGGGUGAGUAACACGUAUCCAACCUGCCGAUAACUCCGGAAUAGCCUUUCGAAAGAAAGAUUAAUACCGGAUAGUAUACGAAUAUCGCAUGAUAUUUUUAUUAAAGAAUUUCGGUUAUCGAUGGGGAUGCGUUCCAUUAGUUUGUUGGCGGGGUAACGGCCCACCAAGACUACGAUGGAUAGGGGUUCUGAGAGGAAGGUCCCCCACAUUGGAACUGAGACACGGUCCAAACUCCUACGGGAGGCAGCAGUGAGGAAUAUUGGUCAAUGGGCGAGAGCCUGAACCAGCCAAGUAGCGUGAAGGAUGAAGGCUCUAUGGGUCGUAAACUUCUUUUAUAUGGGAAUAAAGUUUUCCACGUGUGGAAUUUUGUAUGUACCAUAUGAAUAAGGAUCGGCUAACUCCGUGCCAGCAGCCGCGGUAAUACGGAGGAUCCGAGCGUUAUCCGGAUUUAUUGGGUUUAAAGGGAGCGUAGGUGGAUUGUUAAGUCAGUUGUGAAAGUUUGCGGCUCAACCGUAAAAUUGCAGUUGAAACUGGGAGUCUUGAGUACAGUAGAGGUGGGCGGAAUUCGUGGUGUAGCGGUGAAAUGCUUAGAUAUCACGAAGAACUCCGAUUGCGAAGGCAGCUCACUAGACUGUCACUGACACUGAUGCUCGAAAGUGUGGGUAUCAAACAGGAUUAGAUACCCUGGUAGUCCACACAGUAAACGAUGAAUACUCGCUGUUUGCGAUAUACAGUAAGCGGCCAAGCGAAAGCAUUAAGUAUUCCACCUGGGGAGUACGCCGGCAACGGUGAAACUCAAAGGAAUUGACGGGGGCCCGCACAAGCGGAGGAACAUGUGGUUUAAUUCGAUGAUACGCGAGGAACCUUACCCGGGCUUAAAUUGCAACAGAAUAUAUUGGAAACAGUAUAGCCGUAAGGCUGUUGUGAAGGUGCUGCAUGGUUGUCGUCAGCUCGUGCCGUGAGGUGUCGGCUUAAGUGCCAUAACGAGCGCAACCCUUAUCUUUAGUUACUAACAGGUCAUGCUGAGGACUCUAGAGAGACUGCCGUCGUAAGAUGUGAGGAAGGUGGGGAUGACGUCAAAUCAGCACGGCCCUUACGUCCGGGGCUACACACGUGUUACAAUGGGGGGUACAGAAGGCGGCUACCUGGUGACAGGAUGCUAAUCCCAAAAACCUCUCUCAGUUCGGAUCGAAGUCUGCAACCCGACUUCGUGAAGCUGGAUUCGCUAGUAAUCGCGCAUCAGCCAUGGCGCGGUGAAUACGUUCCCGGGCCUUGUACACACCGCCCGUCAAGCCAUGAAAGCCGGGGGUACCUGAAGUACGUAACCGCAAGGAGCGUCCUAGGGUAAAACUGGUAAUUGGGGCUAAGUCGUAACAAGGUAGCCGUACCGGAAGGUGCGGCUGGAACACCUCCUUU